rnacentral:rRNA from 1 species
AUUGAACGCUAGCGGGAUGCUUUACACAUGCAAGUCGAACGGCAGCGCGGACUUCGGUCUGGCGGCGAGUGGCGAACGGGUGAGUAAUGUAUCGGAACGUGCCCAGUAGCGGGGGAUAACUACGCGAAAGCGUAGCUAAUACCGCAUACGCCCUACGGGGGAAAGCAGGGGAUCGUAAGACCUUGCACUAUUGGAGCGGCCGAUAUCGGAUUAGCUAGUUGGUGAGGUAACGGCUCACCAAGGCGACGAUCCGUAGCUGGUUUGAGAGGACGACCAGCCGCACUGGGACUGAGACACGGCCCAGACUCCUACGGGAGGCAGCAGUGGGGAAUUUUGGACAAUGGGGGCAACCCUGAUCCAGCCAUCCCGCGUGUGCGAUGAAGGCCUUCGGGUUGUAAAGCACUUUUGGCAGGAAAGAAACGUCGCGGGCUAAUACCCCGUGGAACUGACGGUACCUGCAGAAUAAGCACCGGCUAACUACGUG